rnacentral:rRNA from 1 species
UACAGGGGUCUCAAGCGUUGUUCGGAUUCAUUGGGCGUAAAGGGUGCGUAGGCGGCGCGGUAAGUCGGGUGUGAAAUUUCGAGGCUUAACUUCGAAACUGCAUUCGAUACUGCCGUGCUUGAGGACUGGAGAGGAGACUGGAAUUUACGGUGUAGCGGUGAAAUGCGUAGAUAUCGUAAGGAAGACCAGUGGCGAAGGCGGGUCUCUGGACAGUUCCUGACGCUGAGGCACGAAGGCCAGGGGAGCAAACGGG